AAAGUACUCCCUCCAUCCCAAAAUUCUUGUCUUAGAUUUUUUUUAGAUACGGAUGUAUCAAGUCACAUUUUAGUAUUAGAUACAUCUGUAUCUAGACAAAUCUAAGACAAGAAAUUUGGGACGGAGGGAGUAGUUG
rnacentral:pre_miRNA from 1 species